GAGCCAAUGGGGAAAGAGGGGCAGAGCUUUCACUGCUGUCAUGUGACCACUCCCAUUUCCCCCCCCAGGACUGGCCGCUGCAGAGGGAGAUUGCAGCUCCUGCUUGCCGGGCCCUGGACCAAUCGCAGCGCUGGUGGCCGCUGACAUCAUCAUGACCCUGCUCAUCGCGGGAGGAGCCUACUGCCUGGGGGGGCGGGGCCGGAGAGAUGAGGUCAAGCCCCGCCCCGCCGAGGUGGAGCCGACCUAUCAGGAGCUGCAGGGCCAACGCGGUGACGUCUACAGCGAGCUCCAGCGAUAGCCCCGCCCCCUGCCCAUCCCCCAACA